UACGUAGGGUGCGAGCGUUAAUCGGAAUUACUGGGCGUAAAGCGUGCGCAGGCGGUUCGUAAAGUCUGAUGUGAAAGCCCCGGGCUCAACCUGGGAACUGCAUUGGAAACUAGCGAGCUCGAGUGUGGCAGAGGGGGUGGAAUUCCGACGUGUAGCAGUGGAAAUGCGUAGAGAUGUGGAGGAACACCGAUGGCGAAGGCAGCCCCCUGGGCUAACACUGACGCCUCAGGCACGAAAGCGUGGGGAGCAAACAGG
rnacentral:rRNA from 1 species